AUCUGGAUGAGAACAGGAUCUUCCUGUUCGACACCGAGUGCAGCACAUAUUUGUUCCUCUGCCUGGAGAGCACGCCCAGGCAGAACCUGGCCUGCCAGUACCUGGGUGCACGCCCGAAUCCCCGGGGUUCCCGUGGGAAAUGGACACAGAAUGAGACGUUCAGAUGGGUCCUCAUGUGAACGGAAGGCGGUCCUGUGAGGGAGCCGUUGGCUCGGCCCUCCCCCGGCCCCUGGGAUUGCCUUCCCAAGGAGCCCAGGAACCCCGUGGAAGAGGGAGGAGGGGGAGGGGGGUCCUAGUGUUGCAUCAGAAACAAGGGGAGUGUUGCACACAGGGACUUGAGGGACAGACACAGACCCCGAGGACAGCAGAGGCCACUGGGGACACCGGGAAGGAGGUGUCCCUGCAGGUCAGCUGCAAGGGCAGGUGACUUUGACCAUCUCUGUGUGGCCGACAGCCAGGACCCUGGAGGCAGACGACAAGGCCAUGGUGGAAUUCAUCAGCUUUCUCAGGACCCUGCCUGUGCACAUGCAGAUCUUCCUGGACAUGACCCAGGUGGAAGAACAGUGCCGCGUCUAGAUGAGCUCCUGCUCUGUCCUGCCUCCUGGGUCCCGGAGCCUCGGCCCCUGUGUGGACGGAGAGGAUGUUGCCUUCCUGGGAGGGACAAGGAUGCUGAAGACCAAGGCACAUUUCCUGGGACCCUGGGACCUCCUGGGUCUCAGCCUAGGGUCUCCUCUCCUAAGCUGUCCCUCUUUGAGCAGAACUAGAUAAGAGUGCUGCUGAGAUGGCCAGAGCUUGCCAUUCACGUUGGCGGUCCAGGCCACACAAAUGACAAAAUAUGAAAAAUCAC